UGGAAUCUACAGCUCAAUGGUUAGUGCGUCAGUGUUUCAACCCAAGGGUCCCGGGUUCGAUCACCUGGAUUUUUG